GACGAACGCUGGCGGCGUGCUUAACACAUGCAAGUCGAACGGAAAGGCGCGGCUUUUGUUGGGUGCACGAGUGGCGAACGGGUGAGUAACACGUGAGUAACCUGCCCUUGACUUUGGGAUAACUUUAGGAAACUGGGGCUAAUACCGGAUAGGAGAUCUUGCUGCGUGGUGGUGGUUGGAAAGUUUCGGCGGUUGGGGCUGGUCUCGCGGCUUAUCAGCUUGUUGGUGGGGUAGUGGCUUACCAAGGCUUUGACGGGUAGCCCGCCUGAGAGGGGGGCCGGGCACAAUGGGACUGAGAUACGGCCCAGACUCCAACGGGAGGCAGCAGUGGGGAGUAUGGCACAAUGGGCGGAAGCCUGAUGCAGCAACGCCGCGUGCGUGAUGACGGCCUUCGGGUUGUAAACCGCUGUCGACUGUGACGAAGCGUGAGUGACGGUAAUGGGUAAAGAAGCCCCGGCUAACUACGUG
rnacentral:rRNA from 1 species